GGGUAGCCAAAGUAGUGCCCUUCAGAUGCUGCUGGACUACAGCUCCCAUUAUCCCUGGCACCAUUGGCCAAGACAGCUGGGGAUGAUGGGAGCUGGAGUUCAACAACAUCUGGAGGGACACCACAUUGGCUACCC